ensembl:lncRNA
AUGCGUUCAUGUUUGGGAAUUGUGUGUGAACAGAGCCGGUGGGCUGUCGCAGGUGCAGCUGCUGUCUGGGGCAGAGAGAGGAGACAAAAACCACAGACAGUGAAUGCUGGAGUGUUGACAGUUGAUGGAAACGUCGUUAUAUGUCGAUGCUUCAUGCACAUCACCUCUUGCAGAGAGUGUGUAUUUAGAUGCAGUGUCCUGCCAGGUUUUCAGCGCUGAGCUGCAGUUUAAACCUGCCGUCUGUGUUGCCUGUCUGUCUGGAGUGAUAACUGUAUUAUUCAUGCUUGCGUGUAGACAGCUCUGUUAAUCUCCUGCCAUGCAAUAGUGCUUCCAUCAGCCGUGCUCCUCACGAGUGUCCCACAUGUGUAAGUGCGUUCACACGCACGUGUGUAUUUGAGGGUGUAUAUAAGAUGCAUAGGUCAGAGCAGGCUGGUUUGGUGUCGUAGUGGUGCGUGCAGAAGAUCUAGGCCUUUGAGGUCUCAGUAAUUAGCUGGGUGGGGGCAUUCAGCAUGGCCAUAUAUUCACCAUACUGAAAGGGUGCGGGCAGGGGGUCUAUUGACGGCUGACAGGUGCAGCAGCGGAAGGCGUCAGGAGUUUGGGCAAUCGAAACCAGAGCUGCAGUCUAGUAGAACAGUCUCCGGCCCCUAGGUUACCCCUCGCCCCCCUCCUGGGGGUCAAAAUUGAAAGCAAGUUCAAGACCCUUUUCCUGCCCUAUUUUGCUGUGCACAAGGUCUGCUGUGUGAUUUGUGAUUGAAUGUGGACACAAAGAAAGCAUGAUUGACGCUGUUAUCUUAUAUUUUUUUUUGCUCUUGUUUAGGUGCUGACAACGUGCACAUUAAUUUUUUUGGUCUUUAUUCUUUGUGUGUGUGUGUAUGUGUGUUUACAUAUUUACAUGCUUUACAAUGUGUGUUUGUGUGUAUACUAUAUAUAAUUUAUAUUUCAUAUACAAUACAUUUUAUUUAUUUAUUUAGUAUAAUUUUUUUUAUUGAUUAUUCUUAUGAAAAAACAACAUGCAUACGUCAAAUACAUCUUAUUGAAUUAUUUUUUAAUUAUCAAUGUUUUUU